rnacentral:pre_miRNA from 1 species
UUUUGAUGGAGAAAGUUGUGAAUACAUAGCAAAGGUAUUGGCGCGCCUCAAUUUGAACGCGUGGCUAAUAUCGGAGACUUAGCCAUACGAUUCUAAUUGAGCCGCGUCAAUAUCUCCUUUUGCAUCUUUCUCCAUCCAUCCCUUCA